AUUGAACGCUGGCGGCAUGCCUUACACAUGCAAGUCGAACGGUAACAGGUCUUCGGAUGCUGACGAGUGGCGAACGGGUGAGUAAUGUAUCGGAACGUGCCCAGUCGUGGGGGAUAACUGCUCGAAAGAGCAGCUAAUACCGCAUACGACCUGAGGGUGAAAGCGGGGGAUCGCAAGACCUCGCGCGAUUGGAGCGGCCGAUAUCAGAUUAGGUAGUUGGUGGGGUAAAGGCCUACCAAGCCUACGAUCUGUAGCUGGUCUGAGAGGACGACCAGCCACACUGGGACUGGGACACGGCCCAGACUCCUACGGGAGGCAGCAGUGGGGAAUUUUGGACAAUGGACGCAAGUCUGAUCCAGCCAUGCCGCGUGCGGGAAGAAGGCCUUCGGUUUGUAAACCGCUUUUGUCAGGGAAGAAAAGGUUCUGGUUAAUACCUGGGACUCAUGACGGUACCUGAAGAAUAAGCACCGGCUAACUACGUGCCAGCAGCCGCCGUAA
rnacentral:rRNA from 1 species